UCACCUGCCAGUGUCUGAACCUGUAGUUGCUAGAUUAAAGUUUCAUUUCUUUUUAAAAAAUAUUCAUUGAGUGACUUGUAUAUAUGCAAGGCACUGUUCUGGGCAAUGGAAAUUCAACUGAAUUCUCAGUGGUAGAAGAUAAACUAGGGAUGUACAAAUGAAUGGAAAAGUUCUGUGUUAUGUCAAGUAUUGAAAAACACUAUAAAGAAAAAUAAAAUUUAGGAGUUGAUAUGCAAUUGCCAGGAGGAGAUGUCACUUUAAGUAAAAACAUCAGCGGCUGCCUCACUUGCAAAGGGACACUUAAGAAAAAUCUGAAUUUAAUGAGAUAGCACGAAAAAAAAAUCCAGUUGAUAAGGGAUCCCAAAGGAGGAAGAACAGCAGGUGCAAAAGCUAAGACAGAAUUUCCCAUGGGGUUAUGGGACGAGGGAGAGGGCGUGAGAAAGGUAACGCGGGCCGCCCAGGAUGUGAAGGGUAGGAGGCUAUUGUGAGGUGGAUUGGCAUUUACUCUCUGAGAUUUACUACAAAAAGUCAUCAGAGGAUUUGAAAAAUGAUUUUUAAAAAUCUGAGUUGUAUUUAAAAUAUUUCUCAGUAGAGAAUAAAUUAUAGGGGGAUAAAGUAAAAGAUUGUUAAAAAAAGUUAGGGAAUUUUUGUAAUAUUCCAAGAAAAAAAUGAUUUUUGGUGUUCACAAGGAGCAUGAAGAAGCUGAUCGGAUCCUAGGUACACCUGAAGCUAGAGCUGGUGCAGGUGCCGGGGAGGCUGGAGGAAUGAGAAAAGGAGGGAAGUUAGGAAAGACGCUAGGGACUGUUGGUCUGAGUAACAAUCAGGCCAACUGUAAAUUUUCAUGUCUUGAGAUGGGAAAGAGUGUGAAUUAGUAAACUUAGGGCUAUGGAGGAAAGUAGGAGAUCCGUUUGUAGAUAAUUAAGUUUGAGAUGUCCACUGGGGAGUUGCAUAUCAAAGCCUGAAGUCCAGCAGAAAGAUCUAGAUUGAAGGCAUCAGUUUAUAAGCCAUGAUAUCAAGGAAGUGAGUAAAGACAUGUGAUGAGCGCUGGGACUUUCCAGGUUUUAAAGAUCUGGGAAUAAGAACUAGUUAAAACAUGAGGCUGUGAAAAAAUGGAGAGAAUUGUGAAGAAAAUCAGUUGCUUAUGGUGUGAUAAAGUCAAAGGGGAAAUCUGCCUUUGGAAAAAGGGCAUCAUCAACUGCAUUAAUUCCUGUUAAGUCAAGUAGGAUGAGACUGAGAAUGGAUUCUUGUAUUUAAUCUAUGGGUGUCAUGCUGAAUAGUGUUUUGAUGGAAAGGCAUAAGAGAAUGUGGAAAUUGGCUAAAAGGGGUGUCGGGGAAAAAAGGACAUAGAAACAGCAAGUGAGUGGAGAUAAACUUUUAAAUGGCAUUUUUCCCAAAAGUGGAAUUAGGCACAAAAAAGAAAUUGGAGUCAAGACGUGUUUUCUGCAGAAUGGGAGAGAGUAAACUACACACAUUUAAAGUGUGUAAGUUUCCACAAAGGUGCGCUCCACACUCAAGAAAAUGAACACGCCCGUUACCCUAAACACGCCCUCACCCCUUUCGUAAUCCCUUCCUCUAACCUUUCCCCCGCACCUCCCCAGGCAAUCACUCUUCUGCUUUAUGUCGCUACAUAUUUGUCUUUGCUAUAAUUUUAUAUAAAUGGAAUCAUACUGUAUGUACUCUCUUGUUUGUCUGACUUCUUUGACUUAGUAUAAUUAUUUUAUCAUUCAUCCCUGCUGUGCUAAUCAAUAGUUCUUUCAUUGUUUUACUGAGUGUGGAUAUUUUCUUAGUUGAGCCUUAAAAGAGACCCCAGCUCCAUACAACACCUUGACGACAGCUUAGGGAGAGACUCUGAAGCAGAAGGUCCACCUGAGGCAACGCCUGGGUUCCUGACCUGCGGGGGUCGUCAGAUACUAAAGGUUGAAGAGUAUGUUCUUUAACUUGGAAAUAGGAACUUAAAAAAAUCCUUGGAGAAACAACUUGCAUUUAUAAUGCUUUUAUAACAAUGACAACAUAAGCACAGUGACUCCUUUGAGCUAUUACCUUUUGCCAACCUCUCUGCACUCUGUGCCAAGGGCUUUAUCAACAUUGUCUUACUUAAUCUGCACAAACAUCUUUGAAGUGUAAAAAAUGAGUAACUCGAAGACGGCUGACCAGAAAUGCCAGCUACCAGAUCUUCUCAGAAAGAAGGGAAAGUUUUAUAUGAAAAAGAAAAAAAUGAACAAAUAAUCAUAGAUCAGGUAUAAUUCAGAGGGAAAAUUGUGAGAACCUACAAUAGAUUCUGAGAAGUCGCAGAGCAGAACAAGAAGGAGCAAGAUAUUGGUAGAAGUUAACAACACCCUAGAGGCUAGAAGUUCAGAAACAGGGUAGGAGGAGCAUUUUAGUUCUCCCUCCCUCACAUCUCUGACAGUCAGCAGACUCAUGAGCUGAAAGAGAGCCUUUCUACCCUCAUAAGCCCAAAAUAUGCUGCCACCAGUGAACUGGGAGCUUUCUGAAGAGAGAACCAGGCCGCCAGCCCCUUUGGGGCGCUUCGUGGUGCCACAGACCAGA